AUUGAACGCUGGCGGCAUGCCUUACACAUGCAAGUCGAACGGUAACGGGCCUUCGGGUGCCGACGAGUGGCGAACGGGUGAGUAAUAUAUCGGAACGUACCUUUCAGUGGGGGAUAACGUAGCGAAAGUUACGCUAAUACCGCAUAUUCUGUGCGCAGGAAAGCAGGGGACCUUCGGGCCUUGCGCUGAUUGAGCGGCCGAUAUCAGAUUAGCUAGUUGGUGAGGUAAAGGCUCACCAAGGCGACGAUCUGUAGCGGGUCUGAGAGGAUGAUCCGCCACACUGGAACUGAGACACGGUCCAGACUCCUACGGGAGGCAGCAGUGGGGAAUUUUGGACAAUGGGGGCAACCCUGAUCCAGCCAUGCCGCGUGAGUGAAGAAGGCCUUCGGGUUGUAAAGCUCUUUCGGCCGGGAAGAAAUCGUAUGGGCUAAUACCCUGUGCGGAUGACGGUACCGGCAUAAGAAGCACCGGCUAACUACGUGCCAGCAGCCGCCGUAA
rnacentral:rRNA from 1 species